CCCUUAGAUGUUCUGGGCUGCACGCGCGCUACACUGAUGCGUUCAACGAGUUUAUGACCUUGCCCGAUAGGGUUGGGUAAUCUUUUUAAAUCGCAUCGUGAUGGGGAUAGAUUAUUGCAAUUAUUAAUCUUCAACGAGGAAUUCCUAGUAAGCGCGAGUCAUCAGCUCGUGCUGAUUACGUCCCUGCCCUUUGUACACACCGCCCGUCGCUCCUACCGAUUGAGUGAACCGGUGAAUAAUUCGGACUGCAGCAGUGUUCAGUUCCUGAACGUUGCAGCGGAAAGUUUAGUGAACCUUAUCACUUAGAGGAAGGAGAAGUCGUAACA
rnacentral:rRNA from 1 species